UGACGCCAUCGCAACUGGCGUGAAGAUGGGUCACCAUCGGGGAGCGACACAGACGCAGAUUGGCCGAACGCCUGGGCCACCUGC
ncrna:unclassified sequences ZMP/ZTP riboswitch